UACGUAGGCAGCAAGCGUUGUUCGGAAUUACUGGGCGUAAAGAGUGUGUAGGCGGUGCUCUAAGUCUGUUGUGAAAUCUCCCGGCUUAACCGGGAGGGUGCGGCGGAAACUGGGGUGCUUGAGGGUGGGAGAGGUAAGCGGAAUUCCUGGUGUAGCGGUGAAAUGCGUAGAUAUCAGGAGGAACACCUGUGGUGUAGACAGCUUACUGGACCACUUCUGACGCUGAGACACGAAAGCGUGGGUAGCAAACAGG
rnacentral:rRNA from 1 species